rnacentral:rRNA from 1 species
AGCAGCCACCUUUUAAAACGCGUCAAAGCGUAACCUUAACCCCCCAAAUACCAUUAAUCUUCAUGAACCCUCAAUUUAUAAUGAAUGACUCCAUAUUUAUAUGGAAGACACCAUGCUAGGAUUAGUAACAAGAAUUUAUAAUUCUCCAAAAUGCAAGUAUAAACCAACAUGGAUAGACCAUUGGUAGUCACCGAAUCUAAAUUUACUGCAAUAACACCCACAAGAAAACUCUGCAGUACUUACUCGUUAACCUAACACCAGCGCAUUAUAGGAAAGAUUUAAAAAAAGAGAAGGAAUUCGGCAAAUGACGGCCCCGCCUGUUUACCAAAAACAUCGCCUCUUGACUUGUAAUAAGAGGUCCAGCCUGCCCAGUGAAUUUUAAACGGCCGCGGUAUCCUAACCGCGCGAAGGUAGCAUAAUCACUUGUUCUUUAAAUGGGGACUUGUAUCAACGGCAUCACGAGGGUUUUACUGUCUCCUCUUUUUGAUCAGUGAAAUUGAUCUUCCCGUGAAGAAGCGGGAAUAAGCUUAUAAGACGAGAAGACCCCAUGGAGCUUAAAACCAAAUAACAACUUAACCACUUACCCCACUAUAAAUUUAAGCCCUGUUAUAAGGUUUUUGGUUGGGGUGACCGCGGAGUAAAACACAUCCUCCACGACGGAAAGAACACACUCUUUAUUUAAGAACCACAAUUCUAGAAAUUAGUAUACUAACGUUUACUGACCCGACAAUCGAUCAACGGACCAAGUUACCCUGGGGAUAACAGCGCAAUCUACUUCAAGAGCCCAUAUCGACAAGUAGGCUUACGACCUCGAUGUUGGAUCAGGGUAUCCCGGUGGUGCAGCCGCUACCGAAGGUUCGUUUGUUCAACGAUUAAAACCCUACGUGAUC